AAGCAACUGCAACUGAUCCCUGUCGUGCUCUGUCCCCAGGGUGACAGAGCGCAGACUUACUGCGAGCUGGAGAGCGUCUUGUGGGGAGAUGACAGCCGCCUGCAGUGCGGUGUCGUGAACCGGCUGAUAGCAGAGGUGUCCCGUGACCUGACAGCUGACCAGGUGAGAUGGUGCUCUUGGAAGGCGGUGGGAGCAGCCUGCCAGGCAUUUCAGGGAAAUCUGGAGCAGUGCAGACAGGUUUUUCUGGCACUGGGGCCCAACAGAGGCUCCCCAGUAGCCCUGAGGGACAAAGCGGCUGGGGAAAUGCCUGCCUGGGCUAGGCGGGGAGCAACAGCCGGGGAGCUGCUCACCUUCCUUCCCCAGGGGACCAGAGGUGGCAGCCGCCCAGCCCCAGGCACAGCUGUCCCCAAGGGGUGUUGUGGGGGAGUAGGGGCCAUCUUCCCAGUGGCUCCAGCACACAGAUAACGUUAGAGCUGAAGCCCCGUAGCCGGUGCUGGCUGGUUCACAUAUUAGGGUAUCACAGGAUGGCUGAGGCUGGCAGGACUGUCUGGGUCCACCUGGUCCAACCCCUGCUCCAGCAGGGCCACCCAGAGCAGGCUGCCCAGGACCGCGUCCAGGCGGCUUCUGAAGAUCUCCAAGGAGGGAGACCCCACAGUGUCUCUGUGCCAGUGCUCCGGCACCUGCACCUGUUCAGCCCGUCCAAGUGCCUCAGCCUGUCUCCCGGGGGGCAAUUCACCUGAGCCUCUUUUUCAGGGCGUGACGGAAGACACGAAGAUGGCUGCUAGUGACGUCCUGGUGGCUCUGGCCCGCUCCCACUUCAGCUUUGUGAUAGCCGAGCUCCAGGCCCAGCUGAAGGCCCCGGGGGAGAUCUCCAAGGAGUUCGUGCUCAUCACUGUGGGCAAACUCUUCAGCACCUAUGCCCUGCAGUGCAUCCCCUUCAUGCGCAUGAUGCUGUUGGGCCUGCGCACCGUGGUGGGCCAGUUAGGGAGCAGCCGGAUCCUGCGUGCCGCCUGUGGUGUUCUGGAGCAAUGGGCGAAAGGGGUCAACAUUUACAUCUGCACCUGGAAAGGAUGCCCCUUGCCUGCCACGGAGAAAGAGCAGAUAUACGAAAACCUUUCCCAGGUGUUCUGCUCUGUGGCAGGAAACUGGCUGGACUGCCAGGAGGAAGAGGUGAGGACUGCUGUUUCCCAGCUGGGGAUGGCAGCAGGGAUGCCCCCGACGGUGCCUCUGUCUGUGCCCAGCGGGCUGGCUGCAAAAGGCCCCAGACUGGCUCUAUGCCUGGGGCUGGGGGCUCCCUGCGGGGAAGCAGCUGAAUCCCAGGGCAUUUGGGCAGGCAGGGUGGGGGGGUGAGGGGUGGGGAAAACC
rnacentral:lncRNA from 1 species